CCUUUACUUAGGACUGCUUCCCUUGUGCUACCUGCUCCUAGGGCCUGACUCUGAUUUCCUGGUAUCCUGACCCUGCCUGCCUCCUGACUCUGUUUGCCUUCUGGCCUGUCUUGGACUCCGAUCUCCUGGGAUGUGACCAGGCCUGGCUCCUGACUCCCGCUCCAACCGCUAGGUCAAGGCGCCAGUGUCCCCGUCAUGACAGUGUGAUUGCUCGAGCCCUGACAUUCAUGAGCACCAAACUUUCCAAUUAAUGCAACCAGUACAGGAACUUUGCUGUUGUGGAAGAUCGAGCUCAUGCAGGGUGAAGCAGUUCCCUGGGGUAACUUGAGCCAAUUCUAUAGAGGCAUUUGAAGAUGAAGUCCAACACCAUCCAUGAGGAGCCAGGGCAGAGAGCAGAACACAGACAAGGUGAUGGGCUGCUAUGUUGUGAACUGAUCAGAGCUUUCUAAAGGUAUUCAGAAGGAGAGAAUAACCCAGCUCUUCUCCGGAAUCCAGAGGAGGACAUGGAUUGGGAAGCAGGAAAAGACAUGUAAGUCUGUGGUGUGGAUUUUCGGAGUUGGAUCCUCAGCUGGUGUAGCUCCAUUGAUUUCCACCAAACUAUGCUGGGCCAAUGAAGCUCUGCUGAUUUACACCGGCUGAGAAUCCGGCUCUCUGCUGCAGCUCACUCCCACAGCAUGUGGUGAGAUCUGCAGUAGCAAAGUGCAUUCUGCUGUGAUGAUCCAGGACACUGACGGCUGAAGUGGUACUUGCAGCAGGCAGCAAACAGAUGUGUUCAAGGAGGCAUGGGCUGAGGAGUGCUUUCUAUUUCCCAUCCUCUCUCUCAGGCUCUCCCAGCCAUGGAAGAGUGAGCAGUUGUUUGAACAGCUCUGGCAACUGUCUGUCCCCAUUUA